rnacentral:rRNA from 1 species
UACGUAGGUGGCAAGCGUUGUCCGGAAUUAUUGGGCGUAAAGAGCAUGUAGGCGGGCUUUUAAGUCCGACGUGAAAAUGCGGGGCUUAACCCCGUAUGGCGUUGGAUACUGGAAGUCUUGAGUGCAGGAGAGGAAAGGGGAAUUCCCAGUGUAGCGGUGAAAUGCGUAGAUAUUGGGAGGAACACCAGUGGCGAAGGCGCCUUUCUGGACUGUGUCUGACGCUGAGAUGCGAAAGUCAGGGUAGCAAACGGG